rnacentral:rRNA from 1 species
CUACGGGGGGCUCCAGUAGGGAAUCUUAGACAAUGGGGGAAACCCUGAUCUAGCCAUGCCGCGUGAGUGAUGAAGGCCUUAGGGUUGUAAAGCUCUUUCGCUGGGGAAGAUAAUGACGGUACCCAGUAAAGAAACCCCGGCUAACUCCGUGCCAGCAGCCGCGGUAAUACGGAGGGGGUUAGCGUUGUUCGGAAUUACUGGGCGUAAAGCGCGCGUAGGCGGGCUAUUAAGUCAGGGGUGAAAUCCCGGGGCUCAACCCCGGAACUGCCUUUGAUACUGGUAGUCUUGAGUUCGGGAGAGGUGAGUGGAAUUCCGAGUGUAGAGGUGAAAUUCGUAGAUAUUCGGAGGAACAUCAGUGGCGAAGGCGACUCACUGGCUCGAUACUGACGCUGAGGUGCGAAAGUGUGGGGAGCAAACAGGAUUAGAUACCCGCGUAGUC